rnacentral:rRNA from 1 species
GUACUCGAGUGGCGAACGGGUGAGUAACACGUGGGUGAUCUGCCUUGCACUUCGGGAUAAGCUUGGGAAACUGGGUCUAAUACCGGAUAGGACAGCUGUUUAGUGUCAGUUGUGGAAAGUUUUUUCGGUGCAAGAUGAGUUCGCGGCCUAUCAGCUUGUUGGUGGGGUAAUGGCCUACCAAGGCGUCGACGGGUAGCCGGCCUGAGAGGGUGUACGGCCACAUUGGGACUGAGAUACGGCCCAGACUCCUACGGGAGGCAGCAGUGGGGAAUAUUGCACAAUGGGCGGAAGCCUGAUGCAGCGACGCCGCGUGGGGGAUGAAGGCCUUCGGGUUGUAAACUCCUUUCGACAGGGACGAAGCGUAAGUGACGGUACCUGUAUAAGAAGCACCGGCUAACUACGUGCCAGCAGCCGCGGUAAUACGUAGGGUGCGAGCGUUGUCCGGAAUUACUGGGCGUAAAGAGCUCGUAGGUGGUUUGUCGCGUCGUCUGUGAAAUUCCGGGGCUUAACUCCGGGCGUGCAGGCGAUACGGGCUGACUUGAGUGCUGUAGGGGAGACUGGAAUUCCUGGUGUAGCGGUGAAAUGCGCAGAUAUCAGGAGGAACACCGAUGGCGAAGGCAGGUCUCUGGGCAGUAACUGACGCUGAGGAGCGAAAGCAUGGGUAGCGAACAGGAUUAGAUACCCUGGUAGUCCAUGCCGUAAACGGUGGGCGCUAGGUGUAGGGGGCUUCCACGUCUUCUGUGCCGUAGCUAACGCAUUAAGCGCCCCGCCUGGGGAGUACGCCGCAA